UACGUAGGGGGCGAGCGUUGUCCGGAAUGACUGGGCGUAAAGGGCGUGUAGGCGGCUUUUUAAGUCUGGAGUGAAAGCCCCUUUUUCAAGGAGGGGAGUGCUUUGGAGACUGGAGAGCUUGAGUGCGGAAGAGGUAAGUGGAAUUCCCAGUGUAGCGGUGAAAUGCGUAGAGAUUGGGAGGAACACCAGUGGCGAAGGCGACUUACUGGGCCGUAACUGACGCUGAGGCGCGAAAGCGUGGGGAGCGAACAGG
rnacentral:rRNA from 2 species